rnacentral:rRNA from 1 species
UUCUGACCGUAAACGAUGCCAACUAGCGAUCCGCCGGCGGCUUCUCGGCCCUGGUGGGGAGCUUUCCGGAAACGAAAGUCUUCCGGUUCCGGGGGAAGUAUGGUUGCAAAGCUGAAACUUAAAGGAAUUGACGGAAGGGCACCACCAGGAGUGGAGCCUGCGGCUUAAUUUGACUCAACACGGGAAAACUCACCCGGCCCGGACACCGUGAGGAUUGACAGAUUGAUAGCUUUUUCAUGAUUCGGUGGUUGGUGGUGCAUGGCCGUUCUUAGUUCGUGGAUCGAUUUGUCUGGUUUAUUCCGAUAACGAGCGAGACUCCAGCCUACUAACUAGUGCGGGCAUUGCUUCUGUGCUUGUCACUUCUUAGAGGGAUUGGCUGCGCCUAGCGGCACGAAACGGAGCAAUAACAGGUCUGUGAUGCCCUUAGAUGUCCGGGGCUGCACGCGCGCUACACUGGCAAAGGCAGCGUGCUUGUCCGCCUCCGAAAGGAGCCGGUAAACCCUUGAAAAUUUGCCGUGAUUGGGAUCGGAAAUUGCAAUUAUUUUCCGUGAACGAGGAAUUCCUAGUAAGUGCGAGUCAUCAGCUCGCGUUG